UUUAUACAUUUAACUGGAAUUUAUGAUAUUAAAAACUGAGACAUAACAACUUAAACAUUAACUGAAAUUUAUGAUAUUAAAACUGAGACAUAGCAACUUAAACAUUUGAAUCUAUAUCAGUACAUUGCUGUUUCAUUGGUGAUUCUUCACAAAAAAAAACAAAAACAAAAAUAAAGGUGACACCGAGUCACAAUAACAAAGCAACUAUUUAUUGUAUAUGCUUAUACACUAAACCUUACAAUUAAUAAAAUGCUUUUAAAAGCUUAGAAUAAACUGAAGAGAACUCAAAUUGCUUUGUAUCCAUUCAUUCUUAACUCAAAAUUAUAGUAGCACUUUAAGCGAAUUACCUGGAUAGCAGGAAGAAAAUGUCAGCAAGGGAGGAACUAAAUUUUAGCAACACAGUAACACAACAACAACAAAAUCAACAACUUAUGACCCAAGAAACAACUCAGAAAAAUAUAGCAAGAAAGUAUUUGAAACCAAUAGCUAUUCCCCCAUCUAGGAUUCCUCUAUUUUCUUACAAGUUUUAAGACUCUAAAAAAACAGUCACAAAGUUCAGAAUUUUCAGCUUACUAUUCCAUAUGUUCAGCUGAUCUUUUGACCUCAAAAUGAUGUUCUUUUAUUGUAUAAAAGAUGUCCAUUUCAAGUGUGUUCAAGCAACUUUAAAGAUGUUAUCAAAGUGUGUAGAUAGUGUGGAGAAGGACUCUUGGGACAGAUUUAUUUGGCCAAAUAUUUAUCCAAAAUAAUAGAUUUUUGACCAAAAAUCUGUCCAAACCAGAAUUUUUGUCUAAUGAAUAGUUUUCCUCACCAAAUCUGAACAGUCUUUUGGAGUAUUAUACUCCAAAGUAGUCCUCAAUAGUAAAAGCAACCAAACAAAGGUCCUACACUCAAGUACCCCCUUACUACCCUUCCCCUUUAUCUUCAAUUCAUUCAUUCAACAGAAAUGGACUACAAACCAGACUUGGAUUGGCCAAAUAUGGUAUUAAAAGGGCAGAACUUUACCAAAAAAUCAAACUCAAACAAUUAAGCUAAGCCAAACAAAAGCAUACAACAUAUAUAUUAAGAACACUUUAACUUGAUGUUAAAUUUGAUCAUGAAACAUUGCAUCUCAAACAAAACGAUCCUAAUUGAGUGAAUGAUCAACUACAAAAAGAAAACCUAGCAAUUGGGGAAUCUAACGAGUGACUAACUAUCUUAGUUAAAUGUUUAACUAUAUCAACAGACUAUGUUAAACAUGAAUUUACCAUAGUGAACAAUAAUCACAUGAGAAACUAACUUUAAACCUUCAAUUUAACUAAACUGACUAGUGAUUUUGUUGCAAAAUGCUGAAACUUGAGUUAAUUAGCACGACGAAUUAAACGUGAAAUAGUAGAAACUGCAAUUGAAGCUAAAAUUUACAAACUUGAAUCUAAAACUAAAUUCAAACGCCACUAUCAAGACUUAUGAGAUAGGAAUCCGAACAACACAAUAAUUUGAAAUCAACGAGCGACGACUAAUCAUUACUGACUCUCAACUUACUAACAACUAACUAAAGAUAAAUAAAACAUAUGAACGAACAAAGAAGAAUCAUUAGAAAUUUAGACCUAAGAAAACUAUAAUGAAACAGAAAGAAAAAAAGAAAGAAAAGGGACAUAAGAGAUUAGGGUGCACCAGAAACUCGAGUGUUCGAGACAGUGGUGGUGCGGCAGUGGUGGCGAUUCAGGCAGUUAUGGAUGAAGUUUUGACGUCGGCGUUCUCUUCUUGUUGCUGGCCCGUCACUAUCAACUCCAAUCAAACCGAAGUCCAAUAACGAACUCAGCAACAAAAAAGGCUUGCUCGAGCCAAAGUAGAAGUAACCGGCAACCUGCCGGAAUUUAGCCACCAGAGUUUCGACUUCAAACCAAGAAAGAACAGUAGAUUAGGGGAAGAACUACACACUCAUAUAGGUAUUAAGUAGUGAUGAGGUCUCAAACUUGACGAAUUUGAGGAAAAAUAGGCGGCUAGGGUUUCCAUUUUUUGAAGAUUCAUGGAGAUUAAGAUGGAGUUUGAAGAUUUGGGGUUCAGUAAAGGAUGAAGAGACGAGGAAAGGGUGAACGUUUGGUGGUGUUUGGAGCAUCACCGACGGCGGCGCAUGGUGAUGGUAGUGGAGGAGGAGGAAACUUAAAAGAGGGGUUAGAAAGAGAGGAGAGAUGGCAAGUGAGAGGAGGGAAAUAGAUAAUAGGGCAAAAUGAGGGCAAAUUUU
rnacentral:lncRNA from 1 species